GCCUACGGGAGGCAGCAGUGAGGAAUAUUGGUCAAUGGACGAGAGUCUGAACCAGCCAAGUAGCGUGAAGGAUGACUGCCCUAUGGGUUGUAAACUUCUUUUAUAAAGGAAUAAAACGAGGCACGUGUGCCUUUUUGCAUGUACUUUAUGAAUAAGGAUCGGCUAACUCCGUGCCAGCAGCCGCGGUAAUACGGAGGAUCCGAGCGUUAUCCGGAUUUAUUGGGUUUAAAGGGUGCGUAGGCGGGCUGUUAAGUCAGCGGUAAAAGCCCGGGGCUCAACCCCGGCGAGCCGUUGAAACUGGCUGU
rnacentral:rRNA from 1 species